rnacentral:rRNA from 1 species
AGGUUAAGUUAGGAAGGGCGCAUGGUGAAUGCCUUGGUACUAGGAGCCGAUGAAGGACGGGACUAACACCGAUAUGCCUCGGGGAGCUGUAAGUAAGCUUUGAUCCGGGGAUUUCCGAAUGGGGCAACCCAAUAGUUUUAAUCGACUAUUAUCCGCAUCUGAAUACAUAGGAUGUGUGAAGGUAAACGUGGGGAACUGAAACAUCUCAGUACCCGCAGGAACAGAAAGAAAAUUCGAUUCCCUGAGUAGCGGCGAGCGAAACGGGAAGAGCCCAAACCAGGAAGCUUGCUUCCUGGGGUUGUAGGACUGAACAUUUGAGUUACCAAAGAACUUGAUAGCUGAAGAAUCUGGGAAGAUUCGCCAGAGAGGGUGAUAGCCCCGUAAGUUAAAUCAAGUUCUCUCAGUUCAGGAUCCUGAGUACGGCGGAGCACGUGAAAUUCCGUCGGAAUCCGGGAGGACCAUCUCCCAAGGCUAAAUACUACCUAGUGACCGAUAGUGAACCAGUACCGUGAGGGAAAGGUGAAAGCAAAGGGUAAUGGCGUGCCUUUUGUAGAAUGAACCGGCGAGUUACGUUCGUAUGCCAGGUUAAGUUGAAGAGACGGAGCCGAAGCGAAAGCGAGUCUGAAUAGGGCGAUAUAAGUAUGCGGAUGUAGACCCGAAACCAAGUGACCUACCCAUGUCCAGGUUGAAGGUGCAGUAAAAUGCACUGGAGGACCGAACUCGUGUACGUUGAAAAGUGCUGAGAUGAGGUGUGGGUAGCGGUGAAAUUCCAAACGAACUUGGAGAUAGCUGGUUCUCUCCGAAAUAGCUUUAGGGCUAGCCUCGGAAUUAGGAUCGUGGAGGUAGAGCCACUGUUUGGACUAGGGGCCCAUCAAGGGUUACCGAAUUCAGAUAAACUCCGAAUGCCAUCGAUUUAUGUCCGGGAGUCAGACGGUGAGUGAUAAGAUCCAUCGUCGAAAGGGGAACAGCCCAGACCACCAGUUAAGGUCCCUAAAUAUAUGUUAAGUGGAAAAGGAUGUGGAGUUGCAUAGACAACUAGGAUGUUGGCUCAGAAGCAGCCACCAUUUAAAGAGUGCGUAAUAGCUCACUAGUCGAGUGAUUCUGCGCCGAAAAUGUACCGGGGCUUAAACAUAUUACCGAGACUGUGGAUGCCACCAUUAGGUGGCGUGAUAGGAGAGCGUUCUAAGGGCAAUGAAGGCAGACCGUGAGGACUGUUGGAGCGCUUAGAAGUGAGAAUGCCGGUAUGAGUAGCGAAAGAUAGGUGAGAAUCCUAUCCACCGUAUGACUAAGGUUUCCUGGGAAGGCUCGUCCUCCCAGGGUUAGUCGGGACCUAAGCCGAGGCCGAGAGGCGUAGGCGAUGGAUAACAGGUUGAUAUUCCUGUACUAGUUAAACUUGUUUGAACAAUGGAGGGACGCAGUAGGCUAAGGAAAGCACCCAGCUGGAAAAGGGUGUCCAAGCAGUAAGUCUGAAGUAGAGUCAAAUGCUUUACUUCUUAAGGACAAGCUGUGAUGGGGAGCGAAAUUUAAGUAGCGAAGUUCCUGACGUCACACUGCCGAGAAAAGCUUCUAGUUAGAGUUUAGCUACCCGUACCGCAAACCGACACAGGUAGUCGAGGAGAGUAUCCUAAGGUGAGCGAGAGAACUCUCGUUAAGGAACUCGGCAAAAUGACCCCGUAACUUCGGGAGAAGGGUGCUGAUCGCAAGAUCAGCCGCAGUGAAAAGGCCCAGGCGACUGUUUAUCAAAAACACAGGUUUCUGCAAAAUCGUAAGAUGACGUAUAGGGGCUGACGCCUGCCCGGUGCUGGAAGGUUAAGGGAAUGAGUUAGCGUAAGCGAAGCUCUGAACUGAAGCCCCAGUAAACGGCGGCCGUAACUAUAACGGUCCUAAGGUAGCGAAAUUCCUUGUCGGGUAAGUUCCGACCCGCACGAAAGGCGUAACGAUCUGGGCACUGUCUCAACGAGAGACUCGGUGAAAUUAUAAUACCCGUGAAGAUGCGGGUUACCCGCGACAGGACGGAAAGACCCCAUGGAGCUUUACUGUAACUUGAUAUUGAGUGUUUGUACAGCUUGUACAGGAUAGGUAGGAGCCGUAGAAUCCGGAACGCUAGUUUCGGAGGAGGCAAUGGUGGGAUACUACCCUCGUUGUAUGAACCCUCUAACCCGCGCCACUAAUCGUGGCGGGAGACAGUGUCUGGUGGGCAGUUUGACUGGGGCGGUCGCCUCCUAAAGAGUAACGGAGGCGCCCAAAGGUUCCCUCAGAAUGGUUGGAAAUCAUUCGUAGAGUGUAAAGGCAGAAGGGAGCUUGACUGCGAGACAGACAGGUCGAGCAGGGACGAAAGUCGGGCUUAGUGAUCCGGUGGUACCGUAUGGAAGGGCCAUCGCUCAACGGAUAAAAGCUACCCUGGGGAUAACAGGCUUAUCUCCCCCAAGAGUUCACAUCGACGGGGAGGUUUGGCACCUCGAUGUCGGCUCAUCGCAUCCUGGGGCUGUAGUCGGUCCCAAGGGUUGGGCUGUUCGCCCAUUAAAGCGGUACGCGAGCUGGGUUCAGAACGUCGUGAGACAGUUCGGUCCCUAUCCGUCGCGGGCGUAGGAAAUUUGAGAGGCGCUGUCCUUAGUACGAGAGGACCGGGAUGGACACACCGCUGGUGUACCAGUUGUUCCGCCAGGAGCAUCGCUGGGUAGCUAUGUGUGGAUGAGAUAAACGCUGAAAGCAUCUAAGUGUGAAACUCACCUCGAGAUUAGAUUUCCCAUUGCCUUCGGGCAAGUAAGACCCCUGAAAGAUGAUCAGGUAGAUAGGCUAGAAGUGGAAGUGUAGUGAUACAUGGAGCGGACUAGUACUAAUCGGUCGAGGACUUAACCAAG